UACGUAGGGACCAAGCGUUGUUCGGAUUUACUGGGCGUAAAGGGCGCGUAGGCGGCAAUUCAAGUCAUCUGUGAAAUCUCCGGGCUUAACUCGGAACGGUCAGAUGAUACUACUUUGCUAGAGUGCAGAAGGGGCAAUUGGAAUUCUUGGUGUAGCGGUGAAAUGCGUAGAUAUCAAGAGGAACACCUGAGGUGAAGACGGGUUGCUGGGCUGACACUGACGCUGAGGCGCGAAAGCCAGGGGAGCAAACGGG
rnacentral:rRNA from 1 species